AGAAAUCGUUAAGGGCGUAUGGCGGAUGCCUAGGCUUUCAGAGGCGAAGAAGGACGUGGUAAGCUGCGAAAAGCUGCGGGGAUUGGCACACACGAAUUGAUCCGCAGAUGUCCGAAUGGGGCAACCCGGCAUAUUGAAGAUAUGUCACCCAGCAAUGGGAGCAAACCCGGAGAACUGAAACAUCUAAGUACCCGGAGGAAAAGAAAUCGAAGAGAUUCCGUAAGUAGUGGCGAGCGAAAGCGGAUUAGCCCAAAAGCUUUUAUAUGUUUAAUAGAACACACUGGAAAGUGUGGCCAAAGAGGGUGAUAGCCCCGUAUAUGAAAGGCAUACAUAAGUGAUAAAUGAGUAGGGCGGGACACGUGAAAUCCUGUCUGAAUAUGGGGGGACCAUCCUCCAAGGCUAAAUACUCCUGAAAGACCGAUAGUGAACAAGUACUGUGAAGGAAAGGUGAAAAGCACUUCGAAUAGAAGGGUGAAAUAGAACCUGAAACCGUACGCCUACAAGCGGUCGGAGCAGCGUUAAUGCUGUGACGGCGUGCCUUUUGCAUAAUGAGCCUACGAGUUAAUCUUACUAGCGAGGUUAAGGACUUAAGGUCCGGAGCCGUAGCGAAAGCGAGUCUGAAUAGGGCGGAUAGUUAGUGGGAUUAGACGCGAAACCUUGUGAUCUACCCAUGGGCAGGUUGAAGCUUUGGUAACACAAAGUGGAGGACCGAACCGGUUGACGUUGAAAAGUCUUCGGAU
rnacentral:rRNA from 1 species